rnacentral:rRNA from 1 species
CCUACGGGAGGCAGCAGUGGGGAAUUUUGGACAAUGGGCGAAAGCCUGAUCCAGCCAUGCCGCGUGCAGGAUGAAGGCCUUCGGGUUGUAAACUGCUUUUGUACGGAACGAAAAGGUCUUUUCUAAUAAAGAAGGCUCAUGACGGUACCGUAAGAAUAAGCACCGGCUAACUACGUGCCAGCAGCCGCGGUAAUACGUAGGGUGCAAGCGUUAAUCGGAAUUACUGGGCGUAAAGCGUGCGCAGGCGGUUAUAUAAGACAGAUGUGAAAUCCCCGGGCUCAACCUGGGAACUGCAUUAGUGACUGUAUAGCUAGAGUGCGGCAGAGGGGGAUGGAAUUCCGCGUGUAGCAGUGAAAUGCGUAGAUAUGCGGAGGAACACCGAUGGCGAAGGCAAUCCCCUGGGCCUGCACUGACGCUCAUGCACGAAAGCGUGGGGAGCAAACAGGAUUAGAUACCCCAGUAGUC